AUACUUCCUUUCCCUUUUGUUGUGCAUCCUCUUCUCAAAACCCCAAAUUAGAUCUCUAACCUACACAGGAAUUAAUUGAUUGAGCUUGUGAGUGUGAUCAAUAGUAAGGGGAAAGAUGAAGAUGAAGAUAAAGAAGAUAGACAACGCAACAGCGCCGGAGAGCUGGGGUUGUUCAAGAAGGCACAGGAGCUUGUCAUAUAUGGUGGGUGGUGCGUUGGCCUCGUCGUCUUCUUGACUUCCGGUAAGCUAGCUCUUUGAAUGUACCAGCUUAUAAGGUAUAUGUUUAUAUAUAUUUGUUUGAUAAUAAACUAAGUUUGAGAUUGAUAAGAUUAAAAUAA